AUGAUCCUUUUGGUUUUUGUUUUGCUUUGUUCUCUAACAUGUGUCAGUUUUGGGAAUGACAUCACACCAGUCCAAACUGAGAUGUUUGGGAUGGAGGGGAAGAAUAUAACUCUGUCCUGUAGCUACUCCUCAGCAGUCAGUCUGCAGUGGUAUCGCCAGUAUCCCAACUCAGCUCCUGAAUACCUUUUCGUCAUAUUUCAUGCUACAGGAAAAGUUUCUCAAAAAUCCAAAAUUUUAGAUCUAGAUCCUCAAUUCUCUGGAAAACUGAAUAAAAACAAAACUUAUGUGGAUCUGAUCAUCUCCUCUGCUAAAGUGACAGACUCAGCGAUGUACUACUGUGCCCUGGUGCCCACAGUCACAGGAAACUGA